rnacentral:rRNA from 1 species
CAUAUCAUGUUGAAAGCACCGGUUCUCGUCCGAUCACCGAAGUUAAGCAUCAUCGGAUGCGGUCAAAACUUGGGAGGUUGACCACCUGGAAACACCGUGGGC